CUAAAAUUAAAAAAAAAAAGUUACAAAGUGGUCUGUCACAAUAUAAUUGCAUUUUGUGGGAAAAAAUCCUAGCAGUUGCAUUUUGUAGAAAAAAAAGUCAAUGGAAAAAUAUGCACGAUACCGUUAACAUGGCUAUAUCUCCGUUUGCUUUAUUGCACACAAAGAUCUGAGAAACAUGAUUUAUUAAAAUGGGACAGAACGCGGCAGCCUGAUCGCGGGCAUGCAGGAGUGGCCCGUGUCCCAAGCCAGAGUGAGGAGCCGGGUACUUGCCUAUAGAGCAGGUGGAUCUGCCCCCAGGCAGGUGCAGUCAUGUGUGCUUAGGGCCUUGCUGAUUACAGACCCUCUUUAAUCCAUUUUUGUCUUUUGUCCUCACAACCGCAUUGCAGCCCUUUUCAAAGGAGAUCAGCCCUAAGGAGGCCGUUGGCGAUUCUGCCCUCAGCUCAUCAUCGGGAGACCCAUCAUAGUUUUCCAUGCUGAGCUGCACAGAGAAGCCUCGGCAGGUCACGGAGGGCAGGGGUUUGAAGGAACCAGCGUGGCCAGCCGAGUUAAAGCUGGCUGGGAUCUGGGUGCAGAGGGUCCGUGCGCAAGUGAACGACCACGCGGCCUUCCUGCCCGGGGCCUUUUCCAGUCCCGGGCGCCCUGAGCUGAACCCUCGGUCCUGGCAGAGGCCUGAUGCGAACAGGCACGCCGACUCCUUUAUCACUGUCCUUUUAAUUACUGCACAUACCCGACUUUAUGAUCCAAUUAUGGGCAAGAUGAAAGUUCGUCAGACUCCUUGUUUUAUGUGAAAUCCCUUCAUUUCCAAAAGAUCAGAGGAACAUUAAAGAACAAAUGAAACCGUCGGUUGCAAAUUAUACGGCUUGAUUUAUCACCAAUCUUCCAUAAACAGCAGUGCAGGCUCCGAGAGUCUCCCCAGCAUCAUGGGCCCACAUAUUCAGUGUACUGUAUAUCUUUUCAUCUCAGCCCCGGAAAAAUCUAGAGAUAUCCCCGGUGGGAGUCAUCAUUUCACGGAAUGUAUGGUGCUUCAGGCUCCACGGCGCCCAGC
rnacentral:lncRNA from 1 species